rnacentral:misc_RNA from 1 species
AAGUCGUAACAAGGUAACCGUAGGUGAACCUGCGGUUGGAUCAUUAACAAAUAUAGAAGGUCUUCAAGACCUCUCUAACCCUUUGUGAAUCGUUUACCAUCUAGGCUCCUGCCUAAUAAACUUUGUAUAAACUUAUAGUCUAUAAACGCUUUUUAUUUAAUUAAAAACAACUUUUAACAACGGAUCUCUAGGCUCUC